AACGAACGCUGGCGGCAUGCCUAACACAUGCAAGUCGAACGAGAUCUUCGGGUCUAGUGGCGCACGGGUGCGUAACGCGUGGGAAUCUGCCCUUUGGUUCGGAAUAACAGUUGGAAACGACUGCUAAUACCGGAUAAUGACGAAAGUCCAAAGAUUUAUCGCCAGAGGAUGAGCCCGCGUAGGAUUAGCUAGUUGGUGUGGUAAAGGCGCACCAAGGCGACGAUCCUUAGCUGGUCUGAGAGGAUGAUCAGCCACACUGGGACUGAGACACGGCCCAGACUCCUACGGGAGGCAGCAGUGGGGAAUAUUGGACAAUGGGCGAAAGCCUGAUCCAGCAAUGCCGCGUGAGUGUUGAAGGCCUUAGGGUUGUAAAGCUCUUUUACCCGGGAUGAUAAUGACAGUACCGGGAGAAUAAGCUCCGGCUAACUCCGUGCCAGCCGCCGCAGUAACAC
rnacentral:rRNA from 1 species